CCCUGCCUUUUGUACACACCGCCCGUCGCAUCAAUCGAUUGGAUGAUUCGGUGAAUGGUUCAGAUUGGGGUUUUUCUAGUAAUAGUUUUAUCUUGAAAAGUUUUGUAAACCCAAUUAUCUAGAGAAUG
rnacentral:rRNA from 1 species